GACGAACGCUUGCGGCGUGCCUAAUACAUGCAAGUCGAACGAGUUGCGGACGGGUUCGUAAUGUCUGGUAAACUGCCUGCUGGCGGGGUCUAACUACUGGACACGGUAGCUAAUACCGCAUACCAUCAGAUCUGCCCCGGUGUGAUUAGCUAGUUGGGGGGGUAACGGCUCACCAAGGCCCAGAUCCCUAGAUGGUCUGAGCGGAUGACCAGCCACACGUGAACUGAGACACGGUACAGACGACGACGGGAGGCAGCAGUGGGGAAUAUGGCACAAUGGGCGAAAGCCUGAUGCAGCCAUGCCGCGUGUAUGAAGAAGGCCCUCGGGUUGUAAAGUACUUGCAGCGGGGAGGCGUUACCCGCAGAAGAAGCACCGGCUAACUCCGUGCCAGCAGCCGCGGUAAGAC
rnacentral:rRNA from 1 species